AGUGGGAAAUGGAGCUCGCCGGACCCCAAGGCCACCCUGUAAGCAGGGUAGUGCCGUUUCCCUGCCCCUCUUCCUCCCCCGGCCCCUCGGCAUCGUUGCCUGAUGGUGGCUUGUCAACGCGACGGCCCCGUACUCGGGGUGUGCGUCACGGCUUUUGGCCGCUGGCUUUACCUGAGAAGCCCCUUGGCACGUUGAGGUCUGUGGCCUCCGUGCAGCCUAGGGACAGGUCACAGGCUCUUGUCUGUUGCCCGUGGUUGUGGGUUUAUUCCCAGGUGUUGGCUGUGCUGCGUUGUCCUUCCCUUCUGGAAAGUCGUGCCUGUGUGUGCGUGUUCCCCUUCCUUUCCUUGUUUGUGUUUGUGGAGUGGUUGAGCGGCUGUGCUUUCCCUUUAGGCCUCCACAAAGAUGGCUGCAGCUUAGCUUUGACUUCCCGGGGGGGAAUGGAGGACUUUGGUGCAUGCCGCAAAAGGGGUGUUCCCUCUUAGUCCUGCGAGCGCAGCGAGUGUCCUGUCUUCCUACUAUUUUCCUUAGUGCAGAUCAGAGCCACACGGUAGUUCUGUGGCCAAGGCCUCCCUGUAGCCAGGGCUUGGGCCUGUCCUUGCGUGGCCGCCUGUCCUGCUGGCGGCGGUGACAGCCCCGUACUCGGGGUGUGUGUCCCAAGCUUCGGAGCCCUCUGUCCCUGAGCAGCCCGCCCGCCCUGUAAUCAGGUGUGGGGAGGCUGCAGCGUUGCAGCCGGCUGCUUUAGCCAUCCAGCUGGUGGGAGUGACCCCUCCCUGUCCCGUCAGAGGGUGCAGGUUGAGGUGCUGUUUGUGUGUGGGGUGACCUCCCCGCUCGGUGGGUCGAGGUAGCUCCCUGGGCUUCCAAAGACGAGACGUUGGUGAUGUUCUGCUGCUGCCGGGCGGGCCAGCCUGUAGCUCAGGCGUUGGCGGGAGCCUCGUGCUCCGCGGGGCUUCUUGAAGAGGGUGAGGUGUGGGGUACCGUCCUGUAGGCAGGGCUGUGUGUGCCCCCCGUGUGUGCUUGGUGAGCUGCGUUCUGAGAGACCCCCUGUACUCAGGUGGGAAUGUGGCCCCGGCCUUUCAGAGGCGCGGGCCGUGAGAUGCGGGGUGGGGCUUGCGCCCUCCCUGGAAUCGGGGCUGGGAUCCCGACUGCGGCCUUUGGCCGUGCCGCCCCGCUGCCUGGCUGCUGAGAGUUGCUCCUGCCGCUGGGGGGGAAACCGAGCUCUGUGGCUCCAGGGGUGUUGUCCACCCGCCUGUAAUCAGGGUCUGGGUGCGCGAGCGUUUGUGCUCUGCUGGCAGCCUGUGUGGGGUGACCGCCCCGCUAGCGGGGUGUGGGUCGAGGUGCCCCGGACUGGGAGAGAAGGAGCCUCCCUCGGCCGUAGGGAUGGGGGCUGCCCUGUAAGUCAGGGAGCAUCUGUGUCCCGGAGUCCCAGGCCCUUUUCAAUGGCGGCAGUGGCCGGGGGUCCCCUGUAAGCAGGGAAGCUGACUCUUUGGCUGCUGCUUUUUGUGUGCCCAGCCCCAUUUGCCCAGUCUGCCCGCCUCUGUGAUCCCCCGCAGCACUGGCUGGAAGUCCGCCGCGUGUCAGUGAGGAGCUGCUGCAGAAGGAAGAAGAAGAAGCGGCGUGGGGACCUGGGAGGCAGGAGCAAGCAAGAAGAGGAAGCGGAAGCGUGCAGAUGCGGGGGGGAAGGAGAGAGGCUCCCUGGGCAAAGCACCUGUCCCGUUAGCAGGGGCACAGUCACGUUUGAGUUGAGAGCUGCCGGCGCCUUUGGUGACCAGGCUGGCGUUGUGCUGGGCGACCUCCCCGUAAGCGGGGCUCGGGUCUUUGCUGUAGUUGGCCUUUUGCCUUGCUGCUCCUAGGGCUGCCUGGGGAGCGUGGCCCCCUGUAACGGAGGGCGAGAGCCACCUCUCCGCACCUGAGUGGGAAAUGGAGCUCGCCGGACCCCAAGGCCACCCUGUAAGCAGGGUAGUGCCGUUUCCCUGCCCCUCUUCCUCCCCCGGCCCCUCGGCAUCAUUGCCUGAUGGUGGCUUGUCAAUGCGACGGCCCCGUACUCGGGGUGUGUGUCCCAAGCUUUGGAGCCCUCUGUCCCUGAGCAGCCUGCCUGCCCUGUAAUCAGGUGUGGGGAGGCUGCAGCGUUGCAGCCGGCUGCUUUAGCCAUCCAGCUGGUGGGAGUGACCCCUCCCUGUCCCGUCAGAGGGUGCAGGUUGAGGUGCUGUUUGUGUGUGGGGUGACCUCCCCGCUCGGUGGGUCGAGGUAGCUCCCUGGGCUUCCAAAGACGAGACGUUGGUGAUGUUCUGCUGCUGCCGGGCGGGCCAGCCUGUAGCUCAGGCGUUGGCGGGAGCCUCAUGCUCCGCGGGGCUUCUUGAAGAGGGUGAGGUGUGGGGUACCGUCCUGUAGGCAGGGCUGUGUGUGCCCCCCGUGUGUGCUUGGUGAGCUGCGUUCUGAGAGACCCCCUGUACUCAGGUGGGAAUGUGGCCCCGGCCUUUCAGAGGCGCGGGGCCGUGAGACGCGGGGUGGGGCUUGCGCCCUCCCUGGAAUCGGGGCUGGGAUCCCGACUGCGGCCUUUGGCCGUGCCGCCCCGCUGCCUGGCUGCUGAGAGUUGCUCCUGCCGCUGGGGGGGAAACCGAGCUCUGUGGCUCCAGGGGUGUUGUCCACCCGCCUGUAAUCAGGGUCUGGGUGCGCGAGCGUUUGUGCUCUGCUGGCAGCCUGUGUGGGGUGACCGCCCCGCUAGCGGGGUGUGGGUCGAGGUGCCCCGGACUGGGAGAGAAGGAGCCUCCCUCGGCCGUAGGGAUGGGGGCUGCCCUGUAAGUCAGGGAGCAUCUGUGUCCCGGAGUCCCAGGCCCUUUUCAAUGGCGGCAGUGGCCGGGGUCCCCUGUAAGCAGGGAAGCUGACUCUUUGGCUGCUGCUUUUUGUGUGCCCAGCCCCAUUUGCCCAGUCUGCCCGCCUCUGUGAUCCCCCGCAGCACUGGCUGGAAGUCCGCCGCGUGUCAGUGAGGAGCUGCUGCAGAAGGAAGAAGAAGAAGCGGCGUGGGGACCUGGGAGGCAGGAGCAAGCAAGAAGAGGAAGCGGAAGCGUGCAGAUGCGGGGGGGAAGGAGAGAGGCUCCCUGGGCAAAGCACCUGUCCCGUUAGCAGGGGCACAGUCACGUUUGAGUUGAGAGCUGCCGGCGCCUUUGGUGACCAGGCUGGCGUUGUGCUGGGCGACCUCCCCGUAAGCGGGGCUCGGGUCUUUGCUGUAGUUGGCCUUUUGCCUUGCUGCUCCUAGGGCUGCCUGGGGAGCGUGGCCCCCUGUAACGGAGGGCGAGAGCCACCUCUCCGCACCUGAGUGGGAAAUGGAGCUCGCCGGACCCCAAGGCCACCCUGUAAGCAGGGUAGUGCCGUUUCCCUGCCCCUCUUCCUCCCCCGGCCCCUCGGCAUCGUUGCCUGAUGGUGGCUUGUCAACGCGACGGCCCCGUACUCGGGUGUGCGUCACGGCUUUUGGCCGCUGGCUUUACCUGAGAAGCCCCUUGGCACGUUGAGGUCUGUGGCCUCCGUGCAGCCUAGGGACAGGUCACAGGCUCUUGUCUGUUGCCCGUGGUUGUGGGUUUAUUCCCAGGUGUUGGCUGUGCUGCGUUGUCCUUCCCUUCUGGAAAGUCGUGCCUGUGUGUGCGUGUUCCCCUUCCUUUCCUUGUUUGUGUUUGUGGAGUGGUUGAGCGGCUGUGCUUUCCCUUUAGGCCUCCACAAAGAUGGCUGCAGCUUAGCUUUGACUUCCCGGGGGGAAUGGAGGACUUUGGUGCAUGCCGCAAAAGGGGUGUUCCCUCUUAGUCCUGCGAGCGCAGCGAGUGUCCUGUCUUCCUACUAUUUUCCUUAGUGCAGAUCAGAGCCACACGGUAGUUCUGUGGCCAAGGCCUCCCUGUAGCCAGGGCUUGGGCCUGUCCUUGCGUGGCCGCCUGUCCUGCUGGCGCGGUGACAGCCCCGUACUCGGGGUGUGUGUCCCAAGCUUCGGAGCCCUCUGUCCCUGAGCAGCCCGCCCGCCCUGUAAUCAGGUGUGGGGAGGCUGCAGCGUUGCAGCCGGCUGCUUUAGCCAUCCAGCUGGUGGGAGUGACCCCUCCCUGUCCCGUCAGAGGGUGCAGGUUGAGGUGCUGUUUGUGUGUGGGGUGACCUCCCCGCUCGGUGGGUCGAGGUAGCUCCCUGGGCUUCCAAAGACGAGACGUUGGUGAUGUUCUGCUGCUGCCGGGCGGGCCAGCCUGUAGCUCAGGCGUUGGCGGGAGCCUCGUGCUCCGCGGGGCUUCUUGAAGAGGGUGAGGUGUGGGGGUACCGUCCUGUAGGCAGGGCUGUGUGUGCCCCCCGUGUGUGCUUGGUGAGCUGCGUUCUGAGAGACCCCCUGUACUCAGGUGGGAAUGUGGCCCCGGCCUUUCAGAGGCGCGGGGCCGUGAGAUGCGGGGUGGGGCUUGCGCCCUCCCUGGAAUCGGGGCUGGGUUCCCGACUGCGGCCUUUGGCCGUGCCGCCCCGCUGCCUGGCUGCUGAGAGUUGCUCCUGCCGCUGGGGGGGAAACCGAGCUCUGUGGCUCCAGGGGUGUUGUCCACCCGCCUGUAAUCAGGGUCUGGGUGCGCGAGCGUUUGUGCUCUGCUGGCAGCCUGUGUGGGGUGACCGCCCCGCUAGCGGGGUGUGGGUCGAGGUGCCCCGGACUGGGAGAGAAGGAGCCUCCCUCGGCCGUAGGGAUGGGGGCUGCCCUGUAAGUCAGGGAGCAUCUGUGUCCCGGAGUCCCAGGCCCUUUGCGUUGGAGGCAGUGGCUGGGGGCCCCCUCUAAGCAGGGAAUCUGUCUCUUUGGCCGCUGCUUUUUGUGUGCCCAGCCCCAUUUGCCCAGCCUGCCCGCCUCUGUGAUCCCCCGCGGCACCGGCUGGAAGUCCGCCGUGCAUCUUUGAGGAGCUGCUGCAGAAGGAAGAAGAAGCGGUGUGGGGACCUCGGCUGCAAAAUCAAGAUGGGGUAUCUGUUGACUGUUUUUCUUGUAAUUCUUUGCCUUUUGGAGCCACAGUUUUGAACGGUUGUGUAAGACUUUAUCACUCUUUUUGUCAGCGUCGUCAGCUGUGAAUAAAGUUUUUUUUCCAUGUUGUUUUUCCUGUUAUA
ensembl:lncRNA